rnacentral:rRNA from 1 species
CCCUUAGAUGUCCUGGGCCGCACGCGCGCUACACUGAUGCAUUCAACGAGUUUCACCUUUGCCGAGAGGCCUGGGCAAUCUUUUAAACCUGCAUCGUGAUAGGGAUAGAUUAUUGCAAUUGUUAAUCUUGAACGAGGAAUUCCUAGUAAACGCAAAUCAUCAAUUUGCAUUGAUUACGUCCCUGCCCUUUGUACACACCGCCCGUCGCACCUACCGAUUGAAUGGUCCGGUGAAGCCUCGGGAUUGUGGCCAGUUCACUUUAUUGGGAGUUGGCUGUGAGAACUUGUCUAAACCUUAUCAUUUAGAGGAAGGUGAAGUCGUAACA